AAUGCGAUAAGUAAUGUGAAUUGCAGAAUUCGGUGAAUCAUCGAAUCUUUGAACGCACAUUGCGCCCGCCAGUAUUCUGGCGGGCAUGCCUGUCCGAGCGUCAUUUCAACCAUCAAGCCCCGGGCUUGUGUUGGGGACCUGCGGCUGCCCGCAGGCCCUGAAAACCAGUGGCGGGCUCGCUGUCACACCGAGCGUAGUAGCAAUCACCUCGCUCAGGGCGUGCUGCGGGUUCCGGCCGUUAAACAGCCUUACAAAACCCAAGGUUGACCUCGGAUCAGGUAGGAAGACCCGCUGAACUUAAGC
rnacentral:misc_RNA from 1 species